rnacentral:rRNA from 1 species
UACGUAGGGGGCAAGCGUUGUCCGGAAUUAUUGGGCGUAAAGAGCGUGUAGGCGGUCCGGUAAGUCAGCUGUGAAAGUCAAGGGCUCAACCCUUGAAAGCCGGUUGAUACUGUCGGGCUAGAGUCCGGAAGAGGCGAGUGGAAUUCCCGGUGUAGCGGUGAAAUGCGCAGAUAUCGGGAGGAACACCAAUGGCGAAGGCAGCUCGCUGGGACGGUACUGACGCUGAGGCGCGAAAGCGUGGGGAGCGAACAGG